CGAUUCUGAAGAAGACGCAUUCAAUUCCUCCUUCGCAAAAUUGCUGUACAAAACAACUCGUUUUCCCUCUCUCUCUCUCUCUCUCUCUCUCUCUCUCUCUCUCUCUUGCUCUCAGACGAAGCAAAUAAACGAUCCCCUCUCUCUUCUCUCUCUAGCUUCUUCAUCGUCUUCACCUUUGCUCUCAGACGAAGCAAAUAAACGAUCCCCUCUCUCUUCUCUCUCUAGCUUCUUCAUCGUCUUCACAUUGGUAUCGAUCCUCGCGAUUUCGUCGUCUUCUGCACGUUCACAUUGCGAUUUUAACUCCUCCACACCUAUUGAAAGCUAACAAAAAAAUAAUACACACAAAAAUAAACUUGGAUUGUUUCAAUUAGACGCUGAUCUCGAUACAUAGG
rnacentral:lncRNA from 1 species